rnacentral:rRNA from 1 species
UACGAAGGGGGGCUAGCGUUGUUCGGAUUUACUGGGCGUAAAGCGCACGUAGGCGGAUCGUUAAGUCGGGGGGUGAAAUCCUGGAGCUCAACUCCAGAACUGCCUUCGAUACUGGCGAUCUUGAGUCCGGAAGAGGUGAGUGGAACUCCUAGUGUAGAGGUGGAAUUCGUAGAUAUUAGGAAGAACACCAGUGGCGAAGGCGGCUCACUGGUCCGGUACUGACGCUGAGGUGCGAAAGCGUGGGGAGCAAACAGGAU